AGUGAAAAUAUAAAAAAAAACAAUGCAAAAAUAAUUAAAUGUGCUCUGAGCCCUGUGUGUGUGAUUGAAAGAAACAAACCGGCAAACACAAUCACCGGCGUCGGCGUAUAUCUGAUUUCAUGAAUGAAAUGGUGAAAAAACAAUAUUCCAAAUGAAACGCCUUGCAAAUCGGAAAAAAAAUUUAAAAAAAAGGUAAAGUGAAAAUAAUUGCGGUUCGAAUGGUGAAAUAAAAAAGAAUCCUAACCACAAUUUAAAAAAACUCCAACCAACGUGGUAAAAGAAACGGUUCAUUAUGUGACAGUGUGCGUGAUUCCAUGAAUAUGAGUGCGUGUGUUAUAAUGAAAUCACAUGAUCGUACGGUACCCCUGCCAUUGUGUGUAAGCCACUCAAUUCAUGAAUGGUGGUGGGGGUACUAAGAAGUGACUCAAUGACUUUCAAACCAAAUGUCCUCAAAAAUUUUCGGUGGCCAUAACGAAAAAGGAAACCCACGUCAUGGACCUGCGAACUCGCAACGGCUGCCUCGCUUGAGAGCAUGAGCCAUGCCAUUUGUGGUCUAACGCUGUGAUGUGCCCAAGAUAAACGAACUGGUAAGUAUCAAAUAGAUGGUGCACCUUGGUGUAUCCUCUAUGACUUCUCCUAGCCGCCUCUCAUCACUCACCACGGCAUCCCUCGCCCCAUGUCCAAGAUGCCAUAGCGAUAGAAAGACGGGUCGACCCGACAUACACCGAGGUCGUCAAGAGGCUCUACCGUGGUUGAGUGAUCUCCUGGGGCCGGCAUCGAGAGAUGACAAUCUCUCGUCCGGACAAAACGCCUUCCGCCGCAACUCGCGUUCCAUGUCCAAGAUGCCAUAGUGAUAGAAAGACGGGUCACCCAUUGCGAGGUUGACAGCGAGCUCUCCGGCGGUCGAGGCACCCCAGAGGUUGGCAGAGAGAAGUAGCACGAAUCAGCGCGUAAUCUUGCGCACAUCACACCACGGGACCCCUCUUGGCGGUUCAGCACUCGCGAGAGCGUAAGACCACGAGUCCACUCCAACAACCUCACCUGGACCAUACGGGUAAGUCCAUGGUAAGUAUUAACACCCUUUUACAGCGCCACCCUAAAUCAAAAAUUGCAAAUAUACACCCCAUUGCACAAUUUGUGCACUCGCCCAAGGAUGUAAGCCCAUGGCUUGGAAAUAUACGCACACUUGUAUAUUUGCCCACUACCGCCUUGAACACACACACACACCCACCAUUCGAGAUGAACCUGAGGUAUAAUAUGGGCACGAGGCAAAAAUCAUUCGGACCUCUGCAACGAUCACCACUUAAGUUAAGUAUAAAUCAUAAAAUACAAUUCAAAUCUAAAUUCUCUUCUAAUUCAUUUAGGUCAUCUUAUGCUACAGUUUACCACAAGACGACGGCUGUUCUACAGCUUGUUCCUUACUGCUAUAGAGAUCCCUGGGACUUAAUUCCUCUGCUAUCUAUCACAGGGUACAACUAAAACUAACUAAACCUACAUUAGACCAUGGCUUAAUAUUGGAAACUCCCAGCUACGGAAAUGGAAUUUCAGGUUCGUAUCCAAAAUAUGUUAUCACGGAUGGGGUUAGUGACUUACAGCUGCGGCUUCAUAAACAGUUGAUAAAAAUUGGCAAUUCCACACAUAACCGGUGUCUAUAUUGUCCAUUGCUGUUGAUUGGUAAUUGGGAUUGUGACUGCUGCCUUCGGACUGUGCUCCAUGGCGACUACAUAAAGCUUUGCAAGUCUUUACCAUGUAGGACUCACAGGAGCUAGGAUUUAAAUUUAUUCGGAAUCGGACGGACAGGCAGAAAGUCAUAAUUUGGGCUAUUGGCUUUAAAACUAUUGUGGAAGAAGGUGGAAAGUGUCUACCAUUGUCUCCCGAGGAAGUCGCAUGGCUCAUCUGGACUCACAGCCACUUCGACACCAGACUUACUUCCCAUGGAGGCUUUGGACGACACUCUGUUAAUACAAAGUAUCAGUGCCUCUUCAAGCUUAGACGUCGCACUCGACUAGCUUGUCUUAUAAUCAAACUGCUGUCGGGACUUACGCAAAACAUAGAAGAAAACCACAAACACAAAUAUUAACAGCCACACAAUUGAAACGGUCAACCCGAUUGCUCGGGCCCCAUGUUGCGGGCGCCAUUUUUUUUGUCGUGUACCCAAGGGUCCACGUUGCCGUUGGAGUGAGGAGUCGGACUGGCGGGCGCUGGUCGCUGGCAUUCGAGCACCGGCUUUUGGCUCAGUCUUUGGGGCGCGGUUCUUUGCCAAUCCAACCCUCUGGCAAGGUGACAAAAAAAACAAAAUAAACAACCAGCUGUCGGUGGUACGAAACGGACGACAAUAGAACAUUAACAAAACACCCACUGGAACGAACUGGAGGACAUUACGGCUGUGGAAUUGCCUGGCGCCUAAAAUCCUUCAUGGCGCCUCAGGACUUUGCCCACCCCAACCAUGGCACCCCUCGUCCUGUAAUAUUAAGGGUACCCCGUAAUCCAUCACCUGUCUAUCUUUGCCGCUGCUCAGUCACUUACCCCAUAUUCCGAUGCUUUAGCCUUCCAUCAUCCUUUAGAAAUCACCAAG